rnacentral:SRP_RNA from 1 species
GCACUAGUCGGGGAGCCAGCGGUGCCCUGUAACCUGCAAUCCGCUACAGCAGGGAUGAAUCCCCCGUAUGAGGAUAUGUUAUGUGCUGUCAGCUGCCGGAGAGCAGUAUUGACGUUUCGGUCUCGCGCAACGGAAACCCGUGAACCAUGUCAGGCGGGGAACCGAGCAGCAUUAAGCGGUGCUUUUCCGUGUGCCGUGAGGUCACCGGGACUGAGCCAGCUGCCGGAUAGGCGGGCAUACAGCAUCAUUCG